rnacentral:rRNA from 1 species
UACGAAGGGGGCUAGCGUUGCUCGGAAUCACUGGGCGUAAAGCGCACGUAGGCGGCUUUCUAAGUCAGGGGUGAAAUCCCGGAGCUCAACUCCGGAACUGCCUUUGAUACUGGAAGGCUCGAGUUCGGGAGAGGUGAGUGGAACUGCGAGUGUAGAGGUGAAAUUCGUAGAUAUUCGCAAGAACACCAGUGGCGAAGGCGGCUCACUGGCCCGGUACUGACGCUGAGGUGCGAAAGCGUGGGGAGCAAACAGG